UUUAUUGGAGAGUUUGAUCCUGGCUCAGGAUGAACGCUGGCGGCGUGCCUAAUACAUGCAAGUUGAGCGAAUGGAUUAAGAGCUUGCUCUUAUGAAGUUAGCGGCGGACGGGUGAGUAA
rnacentral:rRNA from 1 species